CAAUAGCGUAUAUUUAAGUUGUUGCAGUUAAAAAGCUCGUAGUUGGAUUUCGGUUAAGAGCGACCGGUCCGCCGUUUGGUGUGCACUGGUUGGUUUUAACUUCCUGUAGAGGACGUGCUCUGGGUUUAACGACCUGGACUCGGAGUCUACGUGGUUACUUUGAAAAAAUUAGAGUGUUCAAAGCGGGCUUACGCUUGAAUAUUUCAGCAUGGAAUAACACUAUAGGACUCCUGUCCUAUUUCGUUGGCCUCGGGACGGGAGUAAUGAUUAAGAGGAACAGUUGGGGGCAUUCGUAUUUCAUUGUCAGAGGUGAAAUUCUUGGAUUUAUGAAAGACGAACUUCUGCGAAAGCAUUUGCCAAGGAUGUUUUCAUUAA
rnacentral:rRNA from 1 species